rnacentral:misc_RNA from 1 species
GAACUGGCAGAGCAACGGAUACCUCAAUGGGCAGAGCCUCUCGUUUCAGGUGACUACCAGCGAUGGGAGGACCGUCACCAGCUACAAUGUUGCGCCGGCGGAAUGGCAGUUUGGGCAGACGUUCGAAGGGGGGCAGUUUUAGAUUUAUUUUAUCUAAUAGGGUUUGAGUUCACGCAGAUUGGCGGUUCGGGUUUGGCCAAAUGCUGAGGUUUGCUUGUGAGCACCCGCAGGAGAAUACGGUACAGGAGUGUUUAUU